rnacentral:lncRNA from 1 species
AACUUAAAGAAAAAAAGAACUUACAAGUUUGUACCAAUGUUUAGAAGAUCAAGGCAGCUUCUAAAUUUUACUAAUGGGAGCACUUUAGUUCCCAUGUCUGCAGGAUUAUAUUCUGAAAGGAUUUUCUCAAGUUUUACCAGUUCUUGAGAAACCAUAUCUCUAAUGAAAUGCAAUCUAACAUCUAUAUGUUUAGUACGUUCAUGAAAGACAUGAUUUUUGCAUAGGUGAAUAGCAGAUUGACUAUCAGAAUAUAUUGUCACAUUGUUAUCAAAAACACCAAGUUCAUUUAAUACACCUUUAAACCACAAAGAUUCUUUAAAGGCUUCAGUAGCAGCAAUAUAUUCUGAUUCAGUAGUGGAUAAAGCAACAACAUGUUGAAGUUGAGAUUUCCAACUAACACAAGAAUUACACAAAGUAAACACAUAGGAAGAUGUAGAUUUCCUAUUAUCUCUAUCANUCUUGACUAAAAUGUUCUGAAAGAGCAUUUAAACAUGCUAAAAAAUAUUUUUGGUCUUUUGGAUUCUUAUUAUAAGAAAUCCAUAAAUUAUCUAAAAUGCAUUUUUCUGAUUUAGUAACUGAAAUAUGAGAGAGUGUCUUAAAACUAAUAUUACUAUUUGGAAAACAAAGUAACUCUAUAUUACCAAAUCUUAACUUAUCAUGAGUCUGUAGUAUAUUUGUCUGAGAACUGGAACUGCCAACAAUUGGCAAUCCUGGUCUGGGACCUCUUGGUCUUUGCAUCUGCAAUAAAUAAUUAGUCAUAAUCUUUAUUUUUAAUUAUUCUACUUAAAAUAUCUGCUAUCUGAUUAUCACUUCCUUUAAUAUGUUCAAAAUUAAUUACUAUUCCAGUAUUAG